GAGAAUUCCGGUCACCGAAAACCUAAGGUUUCCCGGGGAAGGUUCGUCCGCCCGGGGUUAGUCGGAACCUAAGGCGAGGCCGAAAGGCGUAGUCGAUGGAGGACAGGUUAAUAUUCCUGUACCACCUUGUUGGAGUGAUGGAGGGACGCAGUAAGUCAGGUGAGCCAACUGCUGAAUAUGUUGGUCGAAGGCCGUAGGGCGCACGAUAGGCAAAUCCGUCGUGCUUUCAACCCGAGAGUCGUAAGGUAGCCGAACGCAAGUUUGGCGAAUUCACUGUGACGACGCUGACGAGAAAAGCUUCUAAACGAUGAUGACAGGGUAUCCGUACCGUAAACCGACACAGGUGGGUGAGGCGAGAAGCCUAAGGUGCGCGAGAGAAACCAACGUUAAGGAACUCGGCAAAUUGACCCCGUAACUUAGGGAUAAGGGGUGCCGCUUCAGGUGAAGGGACUUGCUCCCGGAGCCCGGAGCGGUUGCAACAAAGAGGCUGGUGCGACUGUUUAACAAAAACACAGCUCUAUGCUAACUCGCAAGAGGAUGUAUAUGGAGUGACACGUGACCAAUGCCAAAAGGUCAAUGGGAGAGGUUAGCGCAAGCGAAGCUUCGAUCUGAAGCCCUGGUGAAUGUCGGCCGUAACUAUAACGGUCCUAAGGUAGCGAAAUUCCUUGUCGGGUAAGUUCCGACCUGCACGAAUCGUGUAACGAUGCCGGCACUGUCUCAACGUGGAUCUCGGCGAAGUUGUAAUUCCGGUGAAAAUGCCGGAUACCUGCGGAAGGACGGAAAGACCCCAUGAACCUUUACUGUAAUCUGAUAUUGGUAUUUGAUUGCUCUUGUGUAGCAUAGGUGGGAGGCAGUGAAACCGCUACGCCAGUACCGGUGGAGCCACAGGUGAAAUACCACCCUGGUGCAAUUAGAUAUCUAACGGAGUCCCGUGAAUCCGGGCUCCGGACCGUGUCAGAGGGUCAGUUUGACUGGGGCGGUUUCCUCCUAAAUUGUAACGGAGGAGCCCGAAGGUACACUCAGCACGGUUGGCAAUCGUGUGCAGAGCGUAAGGGUAGAAGUGUGCUUUACUGUAAGACCGACAGGUCGAGCAGUUGCGAAAGCAGGGCCUAGUGAUCCAGCGAUGGAAUGUGGAAUCGUCGUUGCUCAACGGAUAAAAGGUACUCUGGGGAUAACAGGCUGAUAGCGCCCAAGCGUCCAUAGCGACGGCGCUGUUUGGCACCUCGAUGUCGGCUCAUCACAUCCUGGGGCUGUAGAAGGUCCCAAGGGUUUGGCUGUUCGCCAAUUAAAGUGGUACGCGAGCUGGGUUCAGAACGUCGUGAGACAGUUCGGUCCCUAU
rnacentral:rRNA from 1 species